ACCGAAUAGAUACCCGGGUAGUCCACGCCGUAAACUAUGAACGCUAGCCCGUUGGCGAGCUUGCUCGUCAGUGGCGCAGCUAACGCAUUAAGCGUUCCGCCUGGGGAGUACGGCCGCAAGGUUGAAACUCAAAGAAAUUGACGGGGGCCCGCACAAGCGGUGGAGCAUGUGGUUUAAUUCGACGCAACGCGCAGAACCUUACCAGGGUUUGUACAUCCCGAGACCGCUGCUGAAAGGCAGUUUCCCGCAAGGGCUCGGAGACAGGUGCUGCAUGGCUGUCGUCAGCUCGUGUCGUGAGAUGUUGGGUUAAGUCCCGCAACGAGCGCAACCCUCGCCUUUAGUUGCCAUCAUUAAGUUGGGCACUCUAGAGGGACCGCCGGCGACAAGCCGGAGGAAGGUGGGGAUGACGUCAAGUCCUCAUGGCCCUUACACCCUGGGCUACACACGUGCUACAAUGGCGGUGACAGUGAGCAGCUAACUCGCGAGAGUAUGCUAAUCUCCAAAAACCGGUCCCAGUUCAGAUUGCACU
rnacentral:rRNA from 1 species